GAAGUAUAAUGCUUUAUUUUUUUUACUGCUUUUUUUUUUUUUUUUUUUUUUGAGACAGAAUCUUGCUCUGUCACUCAGGCUGGAUUUGCAAUGACAUGAUCUCAGCUCACUGUAACUUCCGCCUCCCGGGUUCAAGCAAUUCUUCUGUCUCAGCUUCCUGAGUAGCUGAGAUUACAGACACUCGCCAUCAUGCCCACAUUUUUGUAAAUACAAGGUUUCACCAUGUUGCCCAGGCUAGUCUUGAACUCCUGACCUCAGGUGAUCCGCUUACCUAGGCCUCCCAAAGUGCUGAGAUUACAGGCAUGAGUCACUGAGCCCGGCCUUGUUACUGCUUUUGUAACAUCUGGAACAUAAAAAGGUAAGAUGUGUUGCUUAUAUUAACACAAUUCAAGGACCUUGGCACUGUCAGCAUACACUAGUUGUCUAGCAGAUAUCACUUUAUUCCAUGGAUGCAUUCCCAGAACACUACAUUAGGGAAUACUGGCAUUUUUGUAAAUUGAAUCAUGCUUAACAUUGAUGAGGACUGCUAGCCAGAGGAGCCUAUAGUGAGCACUUUUGUACCUGGAAUAAAUUUGGUAAAUAAAGAGGCAUUUCCUGACUUGUCAAUAUUAUAAUUUUAACAUAUUCUGUUUUCUUUAGAUAGGGUACAACUGCAUCAUUCCUAUUGUCAUUAUCAUUUUCUUGACUUUAACAAAAUUCACAGGUCUCAAUCAGAUUUCCAUCAAUGGGGAGUUUCAAUGAUAGUAAAAAAGGCAUGGACAGAAACAAGAUUCUGACAUCACACACCCUUCCUGAGGAGGAAGACUGCAAGAUAUUAACAGGCAAAUAUGGUACCAUGUUGAGACGCCUGGGGAUGCAAAUGAAAGCGCUUUUCUGAAGACUUUGUUGCCUUCAAAGGCAGGGAGAACCGUCUCAACCAUCACAGGUGAGUUAAGCGCAAAUAAAACUCAUUAUUGAAGGCAACAGCAGGAGUUCAGUGAAAUUCUUUGGUCCUCAAAGGCCAGGAACGUUACAUUUCCUCUUCAUUUUGCUCACAAAGAGAUGGAAGUAGGAGUCAGGAGCUCUUGGAGAUAGUCUGGCACGGGUAGGUACCAGUGUGUCCAUUUUACAGAUGAGGAAAUGGAGGCAAUUAAAGAAAAAAACAGGUCGGCCACAUAGCUAAGUAUAGGUCCAAAAGUGACUUUAUUUUAAAUGCUCAUUUGCCUGACUAACCCUGAGUCUGGGAAU
rnacentral:lncRNA from 1 species